rnacentral:rRNA from 1 species
AUGGGGUUGCUAGCUCUGAAGAUGCUCAUGUCUAGGCGGCGGGAUAGCAAGCAUCUUUGCGGCCAGAUUCAAGCCCGUAAUAGAUUGGUUACUUCAGUGGUUAAAAGAAAGAUCUCUUCAUGCCAACACAAUAACAAUCAAGGUUGCAAGAGAGUGGCAUUUUCAGGGGCAGACCUUCCAGAGGACAUCUGGCGCCAUAUACAUUCCCUACUGCCGCUGCGAGAUGCUGCCCGUGUUGCCUGCGUAUCUCAUGCAUUUUUACGUUCCUGGAAAUGCCAUCCCAACCUCUCCUUCACUAGGAAAGCACUGGGCCUGAAUAGAAUUCCACGUCAAAGUGAUGUAAUUGCAAGGGAUCUCACUAUGAAAGUCGACCACAUUCUCAAAAAACACUCAGGCAAAGGAGUUAAGAAAUUCAGGAUCGAAUUACACAUGCCAGUUGAUCCCUGCUAUCUUAAUAGCUGGCUUCAGAUUGCUGCUGAACUACGGGUUGAGGAACUCGCCGUUGUUCUACCUUCAACCUGCAAUGCAAAUGACUACGAUUUCCCUUGUGCACUUUUUGUUGAUGAUGGGUGUAGAAACGCAAUAGAGCAUCUCUGCCUUGGCGGUUGUGCCUUCCAUCCCACAGCUGGAUUUGGUUACUUGAGAAAGCUGCGGCUGUUUUGGGUGCAUAUUACGGUGGAUGAAUUAGAAUGCCUUAUUUCCAAAUCUCCAGCUUUGGAGCACUUGGCACUCAAGUAUUGCUAUACGAUCACUUACCUGAAGAUACCUAGCCUGCUACAGCAUCUCAGCUACCUGAUGGUAGCUGCAUGCGCUAAUCUGCAGACAAUAGAGUGUAAAGCUCCAAAUCUCUCCACUUUUUACUUCAGUGGUCGACAAGUUGAACUUCUGUUUGGAUGUUCAGUUCAAGUGAAGACCAUGGAAAUGCGUUGUUCUACUCAGUGUAACACCAUUUAUAAUGCUUGUGCCAACCUGCCAUCCAUUGUGCCAAAUAUUGAAACUCUCAGCAUAUCUUCUGUUAGUGAGGUGGUCAAUAUACCAAUCGUGCCUGUAAAAUUCCUCCACCUCAAGUAUCUGUCUAUUUCUCUUGAAGGAAAUGGGGCUUUUUCCCCAGACUAUGAUUACUUUUCUCUGGUUUCUUUGCUGGAUGCUUGUCCUGUCUUGGAAACUUUCAACUUGUUUGUGUCACAGGAUCGCAUGAAACACGAUUCGGUUCUUGGAGACCCGUCGUCACGUCUUAGGCAGAUGCCUGAAUACCGCCACGACAACAUUAAGAAUGUGAGGAUUAUUGGGUUUUGCUCUGCGAAGAGCAUGGUCGAGCUGGCAUGCCAUAUUCUCGAGAAUGCAACAUCACUCGAGUGCCUUACUUUGGACACGAUACGUGCUUUCAGUAUUGACAGACACAUUCACAAAACUGGUGAAUGUGGCCACAUAGGCAGGCAUAUGAUCAGAGAAGCACGUAAGGCGCUCUUGGCUGUCAAAAGAUAUAUCGUGGGAAUAGUUCCCUCCACGGUCAAGUUAAAUGUCUUGCAGCCUUGCAAGCUAUGCCAUGCUUUGGCUGCUUAG